CAGAUGUAAAGUUCAGUAUGAGAUGCAUCACUCGAUUUUUACGGAUGAUUCAAAGCCAGAAGUCAAACGCUGCACAACUUGCUGCACACUUUUCCACUGCCCCCUAUGCCCAACUUUCAAACCAACCAUCAACACGAAGCUUCAGUGCCACCUGGAAUCCCACAUAAAACAUUCCAAUACAUUUAAAGGUGAUAUAUGUAUGUGUGUAGAAAGAAUAUAAGAAUAUAUGUGUAUAUGUCUGUAGACAAUAUUUAUGAAUGUGUGUCUGCUUACUUUUAUAAGUCACUGACUCAUUUUCCUCUAUCUUUUGCCUGCAUUGAUCUUAGACAAAAAGGGUUAGGGUUAACCCAACCCUAACUUGCAUGAUGGUUCUUAUUGAUGUUCCUGAUUGAUGCAGUUUCAAUGCCAUUCUGUUUGUUCCAAAAUGUUUGUUCUCCAGAUCAUGUUCUGAUCUGUAUAGCAGCCAUUUUAUGGUGCUGCUUAUAUAUAACAUGAAUAUUGGAUAUCAACUUAACCUUAGAAUUUAACUAGAAAUGUCCACAUACUGUGAACUCCUAAACUUACAAUAAAUUGAAACCACUAAGUGAGUUUAUAUAAUGGUACCAUAAA
ensembl:lncRNA